rnacentral:tRNA from 1 species
GCGGGCGUGGUGAAACUGGUAGACGCGCCGGACUCAAAAUCCGGUUCCGCAAGGAGUGUCGGUUCGAGUCCGACCGCCCGCACCA